CCUGGUGGCUUAGAUGAUAAAGAAUCUGCCUGCAAUGCAGAAGAUCUGGGUUUGAUCCCUGGGUCAGGA
rnacentral:tRNA from 1 species